UAGAGAAUGCUGAAAAAAAUGCUAAAGACCCAUAUACAUAUAUAAACAUGUAUUAAUUUGAAGAUCAUGCUCUGCAACAAGAUGGACACCACAAGGAAGUCUUCAGUCGCACUGACAUUCUUAUUGGCUUUCUUCAUCAUUGCAUCAGAUAUGUGUAUGGAAUCAGAAGCAAGGGGACCCAUUGUGCAUGUUCAUUGUUCUAGGGACGAUGACUGCAAAUAUCGUCCUUGUAGAGCUAAAUGUGGUUGCGUAUGUAGUAAUAGCUACUGUACAUGUGUAUUUUCUUUUAUGGAUAAUGUUCUUACUCAUGCACCCACAAAUUGAGUAACGAGGUCUUGUCAUGCAAUCACCAAGUGAGAAUGAGAACAAUAAAGGAUUGCAUCUUAAUUGUGUAUGAAAAAUCUUAAUUUUACUAUAUCUUCAAUAAAAUUUAUGCUUAUAUAUAGCAUUCUCGUUAA